rnacentral:tRNA from 1 species
GCCCCCAUCGUCUAACGGUUAGGACACCACUCUUUCAAGGUGGUAAUACCGGUUCGACUCCGGUUGGGGGCG